UACAGAGGUCCCAAGCGUUGUUCGGAUUCACUGGGCGUAAAGGGUGCGUAGGCGGUCGGGUAAGUCUGAUGUGAAAUCUCACAGCUUAACUGUGAAACUGCAUUGGAUACUAUCCGGCUAGAGGAAUGGAGGGGAGACUGGAAUACUUGGUGUAGCAGUGAAAUGCGUAGAUAUCAAGUGGAACACCAGUGGCGAAGGCGACUUACUGGACACAUAUUGACGCUGAGGUGCGAAAGCGUGGGGAGCAAACAGG
rnacentral:rRNA from 1 species